CUUUGGAAUUCCUAGUUGCCGCUAUCGUUGCGAGUGAGUCAAUUCUGUCCUAGCUAUUAGAGUUACCAUUUCUGAACCAUUGUCGCUUUGAAAUGAUCCUGUCUCGGCCUCUAAUAUUCCUAAUUAUACUGUAUUCGUUGGAAUCGCCACAAUUGGAGCUCAUCGCUAGAGAAGACAAACUGUUGCGCCAUCUUCUUCAUUUUGACUCUGAACCUCCAUUCAUAAUCCUUGUUGCUGUGUUCUGCUGGAGCUGUCAAACUUGUUGUUGUUAGAGUGUGAUCAUGGUUGAUAAUGCUGCCGCAUCCCAAUAAUGUUGGAAUUGUUGCUGCUGGUAUGAAUUCAAAAAGAGCAGGUUUAUCGUGGUUAAUUCUCUCCGGUUUAGCUAAUCGAGUGACACAGGUUUGAAGAUGCAAUAUGAAGCUGCAAGCAAUUAGUAGGCUUUCUUUAUGGUUUUAAUUGCUUUCAUAAAGUCUCCUCGCUCUUGUCCUUUGAGGUUUUAUUUUAACAGAGGGGUAGGUGUUGUAUUUGGGUUUAUAUGACUUCUUAUGUAUAAGAAUUACUAUUAAUAAUACUUAUGUGAUUGUUCUUAUUAUUUGCAAUGUUUAUCCUUGA